UACGAAGGGGGGCUAGCGUUGUUCGGAAUUACUGGGCGUAAAGCGCGUGUAGGCGGGUCUUUAAGUCAGGGGUGAAAUGCCAAGGCUCAACCUUGGAACUGCCUUUGAUACUGGAGAUCUUGAGUUCGGGAGAGGUGAGUGGAACUGCGAGUGUAGAGGUGAAAUUCGUAGAUAUUCGCAAGAACACCAGUGGCGAAGGCGGCUCACUGGCCCGGAUA
rnacentral:rRNA from 1 species